rnacentral:rRNA from 1 species
CCUACGGGUGGCAGCAGUGAGGAAUAUUGGUCAAUGGGCGGGAGCCUGAACCAGCCAAGCCGCGUGAAGGAAGAAGGCGCCAGGCGUCGUAAACUUCUUUUGUCGGGGAACAAAGGGCGCCACGCGUGGCGUUGUGAGUGUACCCGAAGAAAAAGCAUCGGCUAACUCCGUGCCAGCAGCCGCGGUAAUACGGAGGAUGCGAGCGUUAUCCGGAUUUAUUGGGUUUAACGGGUGCGUAGGCGGUCCGGGAAGUCAGCGGUAAAAGGCCGGGGCUCAACCCCGGAGUGGCGUUUAAAACUGGCGGACUAGAGAAGAGGAGAGGUACGCGGAAUGCGUGGUGUAGCGGUGAAAUGCAUAGAUAGCGCGAAGAACUCCGAUUGCGAAGGCAGCGUACCGGCGCCGGACUGACGCUGAGGCACGAAAGCGUGGGUAUCGAACAGGAUUAGAUACCCGUGUAGUC